CUGGUAUACUUACCGAACCCAAGGUGCAUGCCGAGGGGCGGUUGGCCUCGUAAAAAGCCGCAAAAAAUAGUCGCAAACGACGAAAACUACGCUUUAGCAGCUUAAUAACCUGCUUAGAGCCCUCUCUCCCUAGCCUCCGCUCUUAGGACGGGGAUCAAGAGAGGUCAAACCCAAAAGAGAUCGCGUGGAAGCCCUGCCUGGGGUUGAAGCGUUAAAACUUAAUCAGGCUAGUUUGUUAGUGGCGUGUCCGUCCGCAGCUGGCAAGCGAAUGUAAAGACUGACUAAGCAUGUAGUACCGAGGAUGUAGGAAUUUCGGACGCGGGUUCAACUCCCGCCAGCUCCACCA
rnacentral:tmRNA from 1 species